rnacentral:misc_RNA from 1 species
AACAAACAUUCGCUUAGUAAAUAAAUUCUGGAGUCGAACUUAUCUUGGUUUUAUCGUUUAGCUAAAUUAUUUAAGUAAAGUAAAACUGUUUUUUAAUAUAAAUAUAAUAAAAAAGUAGGCCUGUAUAUCUUUAUGAAUGAAAGAUUUCGAACAAUCUCAAGAUUUAUUUGUAAAUAGUUGUAAUCCAUGAACUGUCAAGAGGCGACUGUGAGUGGAGUCAAAGUUCCGACGCCGCGCCGCGCCACGACGCUAUUGAUCGGGCGAGUCCACCUGCAGGGACGCCCCUAUCGAUUUCAGUGUCUCCUCGACCAUGGACGGCUACGGAGGCAACGAGGGCUACGAAAGCUAUGGAGGACAUCCCGGCGUUACAACCCACGGCAUGCAAGGAGUCCGCCCCAAGGUGGACCCUGAGGCAUUGGGUGAAGUCGACCCCAAUCUCUAUCCUCAACCCAAGGAGGCCACUCACAAGAUCCGCGGCAGGUCGGACAUUCUGGAGCUUUUGUGCGGGGAUGUCGACCAGGAACUCUUGACGGUCAAGACAUUUUAUUUCUUUUUCUACUCCGCAUUCGGUUCCCUGUUUCCCCUCAUGGGAGUGUAUUUCAAGCAGAUGGGCAUGAAUCCGGGACAGUGCGGCUUACUUAUCGGGUCCAGGCCGUUUGUCGAAUUUUUGGCAGCGCCAUUUUGGGGUAGUCUCGCCGACAGGUGGCAGAAAGGGAAAAUGUUGUUGCUGGCAUCGCUGUCAUGUUGGAUAAUAUUUACACUUCCACUUGGCUUCAUUCAGCCUCCUGCCACGUCUUGCCUGGUGAGAAAGAAUGUCACGGAGUAUGUCCUUGAGACACCGAAGGUUCCACGGAUACUCAAGAGGGAAGCUCCGGACAUGCUAGGACCUGAACCUGCACUCCCCACUCCCUUGGCAAUCCGGACAAACCUCCACGAACAAGAGCAUGCUGCCCAACAUAACACUCUGAAGAGAGACGUUCCCCACUGGAUUGAGCCAGAGGUACCUAUCCCCGUAGUGGAAGAGGAAGAGCCACUGGUGAGGAACAUCCGGUCAGCGAAACCACACGUCUACGCAGGCAUGUCACCUCUCGACAUACGAUUUGUCAAGGGCUACAAUGAAAAGGAGCAGGCCAAUUGGGUGUCACCUAUAUUCAGCUCUAUUGUCUACCGCACUCAGAUUCCAGAAACUUCUAGUAAAACAUCUAGUGAAAGUGAAACAUAUGCUACGGACACAGUUGAGAAACUAUUAACUUCCAAGCCACUUAACUUGAAACUUACAGAGAUCCAGGACAUUCAAAAGGCCUUUUUCUUGUUGAUUCUUCUUGUGAUCAUCGGGGAGUUCUUCAGUGCACCAGCCAUCACUCUGGCGGACUCGGCUGUGAUCACACUGCUUGGCGAGGAUGCAGACCGUUACGGCCACCAGCGAAUGUUUGGCUCAUUGGGGUGGGGGUUAGCCAUGUUCUUCGUGGGUAUUGCACUCGACCACUCGACUGCAUUCCCUGAUCAUCCCUGUGGCCCUGAUGAGCGGGAGAAGAACUACACGAUAUGUUUUGCCACGUUCUCCGUCCUCAUGGGUGCUGCACUGAUAUGUGCUACGCAGAUAAACUUCAAGUACGAGUUCCCGAGUGAGGUACCUGAAAUCGAAAAGCCUCCUCCUGAGCCGACAAGGGAGGACUACCUUCAGCAAGAGUUGGCUCAGCAGCUGAAUCUUCCUGCUCUGGCCACUAACAGUAUCAAUGCACCCCCUCCUCCCACCCCUAAGACUCAAAUGUUCGCCCAGACUACUCGGGAGAUACCAGAAUGGGUGACUGUUCUCAAAUACUUUGCAAACGUAAAGUGUGGAUCAUUCUUAUUCGUCUCGUGGUUCAUGGGUUUUGGAAUCGGUCUCAUUUUCACCUUCCUUUUCUGGCAUUUACAGGAUUAUGGCGGCUCACCAACAUUGUUCGGUGUUGCUUCAGUGAUCAAUCAUAUCUCAGAAAUAUUUGCAUAUUUUUUUAGUUUUCGUCUAAUUACGCAGAUGGGCCAUGUUAAGGUUCUCUGCUUGGGUUUGGCUGGUAAUGUGUUGAGAUUCCUUUACAUCUCAUAUCUGAAAAAUCCAUGGUGGGUCUUGCCAUUUGAAUUUAUGCAAGGAAUCACACAUGCUGCUGUGUGGGCUGCCUGCUGCUCAUAUAUUGCACAUAACACGCCACAACACCUGCGCAGUUCGGCCCAGGGAGUUCUGCAAGGAAUCCAUCAUGGUCUGGGUCGUGGCUGUGGUGCCGUCAUAGGCGGACUCUUUGUCACAUACUUUGGAACAACAGCAACAUUCCGUGGGUAUGGUCUCUGCUGUGCUGUCGUGUUGGCAGCUUUCAUCUUCAUCAACUUUUAUCGUAUUGACACUGGUUUCGUCUCUGAGCUUCCUGUCACUGAAGAUCCACAUCAGGUGGCUGAGGAAACGGCUCACUUAGCUCCGCACGGUGUCCCCAGCAACCCCAUGCCCCGGGCUCUCUCUAGUUCUCGACUACAUGACCUCGCCUCGGACCAGGGCUACGGGGCUACCUACAAUACCACUGGGGGCAACUUGGAUAUUCCUGGAGCUGGUGGUAACAUGGGCGACCACAUUCCUUUGAUUACUUCUAAGAGUUCCCGACGGUAACGAAUGGCCAAUUGAGUGCUGACAGAAAUUGUAACUGCUUCAUUAUGUUUAAUAGAACAGAGGUGGAAACACAAAUCCAUUCAGGCAGUAUAGUGAUUACAAUAAUUAUCAAUCCAAUAACCGAACACCAAGUGAAGAGGAAACAAUUCGUAAACAUUUCCAGAUGUACAGUGAAGUGCUGGCACAGUAUGACAGUACUCAGCCC